ACUUCUUGUUUCCUGGAUGAACAGAACGCGUUGACGACCCUCGCCAGGGAGCGAUAGUCCGGACGUGAGAGCUCUGCUCGCGGCUCGCUCUCUGCCGUGUGAUGGUUUCUAACAACCACCGUAGCGUUAGUUAGUUAGUUAGUUAGUUGACGAUGUCGCUAGCUGCUGCUAACCAGUCCCAGUUGAUUCGGUCCAGUCAGAAGGACGAAUUCUACCGAACCUUCCUGAGAAACAGCACCAACGACGCCGUUCAGACCGUCGCUGGAUCCAGGAGAUGGCUGGACUGGAGGAGAGAGGUGGAGCUGCUGUCAGACCUGGCGUACUACGGCCUCACCACCUUCUCAGGUUACCAGACCCUGGGCGAGGAGUACGUCAACAUCGUCCAGGUGGACCCCACUGAGCGCCGCGUCCCGUCCCGGGCCAGGCGAGGCCUCUUUGUUCUCCUCCACGCCUACUUCCCUUACCUGGUGGACAAGGUCCUGGUGUGCCUGGAGAACCAGCUGGAAUCCGGGCAGGAGAGGCGGCGGCGGCGCGCGGCGCCGGAGCGCUGGUGGAGCCUGGAGUCGUGGCUCCGGAGGGGGACGCAGAGGGCGGUGGGGCAGCUGUCGGAGCCCCAGAGGGGAGCGUGCGCGGCGGCCGUGUCCGUCCUCCACCAGGGCCUGACCCUCCUACGCCGACUCCACGCCGCCGUCUUCUACAUCAGCGGCUCCUUCUACCACCUGUCCAAGAGGGCGGCCGGCAUCCGCUACCUGCGUGUGGCGGCGCUCAGCAGGGACGACGGGACCAUCAGGAGCAGCUACAGGCUGCUGGGGACGCUGUCCCUCCUCCAGCUGCUCGCCACCGUGUGUCUGCAGUUCAACAGCUUCCGACAGAAGCAGCGAGCCAGACAGGAGUGGAAGCUCUACAGGAGCCUCAGUCCUCAGCGCGCACACACCUCGGGCCCCGCGGCUGCCAGCUGCAUCCUCUGCCUGGAGGACAGGAGACACUCCACCUGCACCCCCUGUGGACACCUCUUCUGCUGGGAGUGCAUCACGGAGUGGUGCAACACCAAGGCAGAGUGCCCCCUGUGUCGGGAGAAGCUCCAGCCUCACAGGCUGGUGUACCUGAGGAACCUGGGCUAGGACCACGUGGCCUCGGCGUUGCCUUCAGGUUCCUAGUGCUCCCCAUGAGGAAUAAAACCUUGGAUUGUAUCAGUCGAUAUUCAACGUCCACAGACAAGGAGCUGCUGUUGGACAUUGGGACAUGCGUCCCUAGGACAUGCGUCUUUCAGCCAACUAACCUUUAAGCGGCGCAAAUCAUCCCUGGCUGUAAAAACGAAGUGACGCAAAGCGCGGUGGCGUCCGGUCGGCCCGCGUGGACGCGUUCCAGGUGCAUCCUGCUACGUGGAGACUUUACAAAAGGACGGAGUGGAUUCUGGAUGCACGUCAUGGAAGCAGUGCCCUUCAGCCAGUUGAACAGUUCUAGUUCCUCUGUUCCUCCUCACUGAGAGCAAAACACUCGACUAGAUCUCCACUCUUUGCUGUCCUGCUCCUAAAUGGUGGAAGGAGGUCUCUGAAGACACCAGGA